UAUAAGAACUUUGUACUUUUUUAAAUAACCAUGGAGUAGUCUUUGUGUCUCUGAAUAACUGGUUAUCAAUAUAUAGUUUAUCAACGACGAGAGCUUCUCGUUUCCCUUUUAAUAUAUUUUCCUUGACAAUUGGAUACAGAACUUUACACCGUUCUGCAAUUUCCUUUGGGAACUGAUCAUUCAUGCCAAUUUUGGUUCCAGCAAGUAUUUUACCCAGGCCGUUAACCAUUAUUUUAUAUUUGCCCUCUCUGUCCGAAGCGGUGUACAGGUUCGAGUGGGAUUGUGUCGAUAGCUUUGCGUGGAAUCUGAAGCACUGUAAGGAGGAACUCUCAAACUACAGAUUCAGGAACUUCUCCUUCUUUCUCUUGGAUACCAUAUAGGAGUUGGCAAGACAACACAGACAGAUCUGGGACCAGGCUACCCUACUGUACUACGAGACCCACCUUCUUAUGGCUCUCCUUGAGUAAACCUACAAGACACAUACCUUGGAGUGGAACUCGUCAAUGGGCACUUGAUGGGUGCUGAUGUCCCUGGUGUCGACCUUGACGUGGCUGAGCCCCUGCUCCCUGAACUGCAGCUCCGGCUUGGUGUUGGCC